rnacentral:lncRNA from 1 species
GCACUGCAUUGGGUACGGGACAGGGUACGGGUAAGGCACGGCCUUGUAUAUUGGUUUCGGCGGAUCAGGCUUCUUCUCAGGUUCGCACUUGCAGCAGCAUUUGCAUGGUUUGGGAACAGGUUUCUUCUCAGGCUCGCACUUGCAGCUGCAUUUGCAUGGUUUGGGUUCAGGUUUCUUCUCGGGCUCGCAUUUGCAGCUGCAUUUGCAUGGUUUGGGUUCAGGCUUCUUCUCAGGUUCGCAUUUGCAGCAGCAUUUGCAUGGUCUGGGAUCAGGUUUCUUCUCAGGUUCGGCUGGUUUUUUUGGCGGCCAUUCGGGGACGAUGAUGAUCUCCGUGACGACCUUGCAG